rnacentral:rRNA from 1 species
GACGAACGCUGGCGGCGUGCCUAAUACAUGCAAGUUGAGCGCUGAAGGUUGGUACUUGUACCGACUGGAUGAGCAGCGAACGGGUGAGUAACGCGUGGGGAAUCUGCCUUUGAGCGGGGGACAACAUUUGGAAACGAAUGCUAAUACCGCAUAAAAACUUUAAACACAAGUUUUAAGUUUGAAAGAUGCAAUUGCAUCACUCAAAGAUGAUCCCGCGUUGUAUUAGCUAGUUGGUGAGGUAAAGGCUCACCAAGGCGAUGAUACAUAGCCGACCUGAGAGGGUGAUCGGCCACAUUGGGACUGAGACACGGCCCAAACUCCUACGGGAGGCAGCAGUAGGGAAUCUUCGGCAAUGGACGAAAGUCUGACCGGGCAACGCCGCGUGAGUGAAGAAAGUUUUCGGAUCGUAAAACUCUGUUGGUAGAGAAGAACGUUGGUGAGAGUGGAAAGCUCAUCAAGUGACGGUAACUACCCAGAAAGGGACGGCUAACUACGUG